AAUAGUUAAAUAAAGAAGUGGAAUUAUAAUGGGUCUUUUAACAUUCACUUAAUUUGUGUUGUUAAACCAUCUUUCAGUACAGACAAGAUAAUCCAUUCAUAGGAGUAGAUCAAUAUUUUAUCCCUACUUAGCUAUCAGAUAUUGCAGUCACAGACUUAGAGUACAUUUCUGCAAAUCUCCAUUUGAAAGUAUAUUAAUAAAUCUGAAGAAAAAUAUAGUUUCUUUUCCUGUAAAAUAACUUAUUAACUUGCACUGUGGAAUCUGAAAUGUGAUUUAAAUAAUAAAUACCAGCUACUAAGCUGCCCAUCAUAAAAGCCUAAGAAAUAUCCAUUCUUUCUCUUUUUGCCAGUAUACAGAAGGCUGAUAAGGCCACAAAGAAAAGUGAGAAUCAUUUCACCUAUAGAAUAAUUUACUGCAUUUGCCUUUGCAUAAACAUCACUGGAAUGUAUAUAUGUAUUCACCUCCUAUAACUAAUUCACAACUUCAAAACCAUUAGGAAAAAUAUAAUAAUAUCAAGAUGCUGGGGGGAGAUGAAAAACACACACAACAGAACAAGAAAUUAAGUAAAAAAUAAUGAGUGAUUGUGGGUUCAAGGGGACUUUGAAAGCUGAAAACCAAAAUGUUUUUGAAUUAAUAUGCAGGAAAGUGCUAAGAAACAGAUUUUUUUUUUCUUCUUACAGAAAUUGCACCACUUUUAAAAUCCUUGAUUUGAAAAAAUGACCUUUCAUAAUCAUUCUGCUUUAACACUCAUGUGGAAGAAGAUAGAAGAUGUAAAUUUCUGGAGAAGGGAGAAAUCCUAACACCAUACGUGGCCAAGACCCUAAUAAAGAAAUCAAAUUGAUUGAAGAAUAGACAUAACAUUACUUCUAAACUAAAUCAGAUCUUUCUAUUUUUAUAUAUUAUUGUAGAAUUCAACAGUUUCUAAGAUAGUACGGUUUAUCAUUCAAAGAUAGGAAUAUAUUUAACUUCUUUGUGCUAAAAUAAAUAUAGAACUGUAAAGUCAAACAGGCUAUGUGAAGGCUGCAAUAAAUUAUUUGCCAUGCUCUGUAGGUACCAAGAGGUAUACUACAUUAAUUAACAUAACAUAAACAUUACCGUUGUGUUUGUUAAUAAUGCUUAUUAAUGAAAAAAUCUGGAAUUACUCUUAAUAAUUUGACCUAUAAGGGAGAUAAAAACAUAGAGCUUGAUGAAGCACCUUGGCAUUUAAAGUGAUGAUUAAGAUGAAGCACAUUUGAUGUUUUUCUUUGAAGCAAAUGUAUAACCAUUUCACUUUAAGUGAAAUUAUAUCAAAUCACAAAGGUAAUCUCAGAAUAUAAAAGAUUUGUCAUACUAUAUAGUUAGUUUUGUCCCAGCACAGGUAUGGAAAUAUUUUGAACCAAAUUACACUCUAAUUUUAAUGAGAUUGUGUGAGAAUAAUCUAACAAAAUUUUUCUUCAAUAUCAAAUAUUCUUAAAUUGCUUCUUGUCCUAAUCUGUUUUAGAAGUGUAUAUUUGUAUUUUCUGAAUGGAUUCCCUGCUGUGUCUCCCCCAAAUGACUAUAUUUCAGAGACAGUUAAUUUGCAUGCAUGAAUUAGUGUGCCUAUACGAAUUACUCACUAUCGCACAUUUGCUAGUUCAGAACUGUCCAAAUUUAAGCUCUGAAUCUAAUCUGACACUCAUUGGCACCUGGACAACCAUAUUCAAGCACAUGUAUUAUGAUAACACCCAAUUUGGCUUUAACUUUGCAUAUCUGCUCAUGUAAAUUCCCUCCUAUGGAUCAGAUUCUGUGAACACAGAAUGAAAGAGCACAACGGGGAUAUUUCUUUGCUACCAUAAUACAGGACUGUGCAUAUAGAUUAUUAAAACAAAAUGCAGGAUAGAUUAUUUGCUUAGCUUUACUUGCUAAUGUACAAUAUAUUUUCCCAUCUCCUCCCAUUUAGUGAAAUUACUCCAAAAGAAAAAUAUCCCUUUUUAUUGAAGUAUACUGGAUUAAAGUGAAUUAUUAAAAUGCAUAAAACAAGACAGUAAUGUAUAAUGUGGUUUGUGACAAAAUGUACUGUAACCUUAACUGUAAUUAUAUCAAAUAUAUUGAUUUAAAUUUCAUAAUCAAAUUGUGUAGGUAACGAUCCAUAUCUUCGGUAAUUGAGUUGUGUGUGCAAAUGUAAUUACAGUAAUGGUAUAAAAAUUUGAUGAUGCCAUCUAGAUUAGAUUGAACUUUGGGUGUACUUUAAAGAAUAUGCAGGGAUUCAUAAAAAAUCAGUUUACGUGGAACUAUAUCAUAACAUAGGACUGAUGUGCUCCUGAGAAGAGAGCUUAAUCCCUGCUAAAAUAUGUCAGAAAAAGUUUCCAACAGAAAAACAUCUUGAAGUUUUAUGUUCCUAUUAAAAUAUAGUAUGCAGUCGAUGCAUGUCUUUUUGGAAUACAUCAAGUCUGCUUUGCAUAGAUGCAAUAUUAAGUUGUUUCUGGGUGGACUUUUGAGUCUUGCAAUGUUUUUUAGAGAUGCCAAGAGGUUCAGUGUUUAAAAAUAUUCUAAACUUUUAAAACAAUGUCCAGUAAGAUCAUAUUUUGCAGGAUAUCUGGGGAUGCAUUUAAUUAUUCUGCAGAACUUCUUAAGGAAGAAAGGAAAAGAAAGAAAGGUACUCCUUGACACAGUAGCAAGUUGUCAGCUAUCUGAAAUGAUAUACAGAGUUCAAUAUCAAAUUCUUUCUUCUGAUUGCUGUUGUAAUGGUAAGAACUGCCUUAUUACCUAAUAAUUGUAGUCACACAUCUUUGCUUCAAAUUGAAAGAUAGAAGUUCUAAACAAAUUUUUAAGGAUAUGUAGAAAAAUAAAGGAAAAACAUAUAGAAAAAAAAUCCUCUUUCUUGUGAAAAAUCUUCCCUUAGCUGUUUUCAAAUCACACAGAAAUUACUAAUGUCAUAGAAUCAUAGAAUCACCAAGGUUGGAAAAGACCUCUAAGACUGUCCAGUCCAACUGUCCAUUUAUCACCAAUAUUUCCCAUUGAACUAUGAUCCUCACUACAAGACCUAAAGGUUUCUUGAACACCUCCAGUGUCAGUGACUCCACCACCACACCAGGCAGCCUAUUUCAGCACCUUACCACUCUCUCAGAGAAGAAUUAUUUCCUAACAUUCAAACUGAAUCUGCCCUGGCACAACUUGAGGCCAUUCCUUCUAUUCCUAUUGGUAGUUACAUGGGAGAAGAUGCCAACAACCAGCUCACCGCAACCUCCUUUCUGGUAGUUGUAGAGAACAAUAAUGUCACCCCUGAGCCUCCUCUUCUCCAGACUGAAUAUCAAGAGAUUCUAUAUGUAUUUUUAAAGAGCAGACUGUGGCUCAAAAAUUAAAUUUUUUAUGAAGGUACAUACCUACAUGCCUUUUCAUUUACUUAAUGGGAAUUGCCUGCAAGUGUAAGACAACAAAUAUUUAUUUUCUAAAAUAAAAAUAUCUCAACCAAAAAAUUCAACUGCAAUAGAAUUACGUUUACCGAAAAAGAAAAUCCAGAAGUAUGUGACAUUUGUGCCCUAUUUAUCUCUUAUUUUUCCAAUUGUGCAUGAUUCUCACAUUGAAAUCCUGUAUCACAUUUGCUGUUGGUAGAAUAAUGUAUUUAGCAGAAUUUUAGUUGCAGUCUUGAAAAUAUAAGUCUAGUUUAUCUCAAUACUUGAGAAUGUGAAUUAAAAGAAAUCUGCCAUACAGACUUUUAGAUUAAUCAAAAAUUUUUUUUAAGGAUUGGAGAUUCAGAAGAUGUAGACAAAAUUGGAAUACGUGCUCAGAUAGCAGCAUGUGGUUAUUGUAGGUUAAGCUAAUUAGUUUUCUUGUAUCAAGCAUAGGCACAGAAAUUGUAUGUUUUUGUCACAUCUGAUCAUGCAUAACAUUCAGAAAUGUCAAGGAUAACUAUUCAUUCGAAUUAAGGAAAAAAACAUAGAACAGAUCUCCACUUUGUAAGAUAAAGAAUGACUAUAUAUCAAUGGUAAGACACGAGGAAACAAGAAGAAAAGUAUUUAUUUUAUUUACUUAUUCGGAUUAUUUACUGAGAGAAGAUGUUUUGAGUAUAGGAGGCAGAGGAAUAUGAAUGCUUCGUUUUGUUUCCUUAUUAUCUUCUCUAGGUCAUAUCUGAAAGAAUGGUAAAUGAAGAAGUUUAAUAGAAAACUCACUGUUCCAUAAGGACAAAGUGUUACUUUUAUGAAAAAAGUUCAACGAUGAAAGCAAGCAAUGACCUUUUUCUGAAAGAGCAGUAGAAGGGAAAGUGACAAGGAACCACAUCACACAUUAUUAGUGUGCUGAAAACUGCAACCAUGUGUUACAAUGUUUUCUAAGCUUUUUUUUUUUUUUUUUUUAAGGUUCAAAUCAUGCCACACAACAAACCCCUAACAAUAAAUACUAAUACACUGUAAAUACAUUCCAUACAAAUUAAUGUCACACAGUUUAGUAUGGCAUUGCAGCAUAUCUACUCAAUUGCAAGAACAUGCUUUUACCACACAAAUCUACCUGUAAAAGGAGGGCAAAUUCUAUAAUAGUGAUAUAUCCUAUAAUAG
ensembl:lncRNA